UACGAAGGGGGCUAGCGUUGUUAGGAUUAACUGGGCGUAAAGCGCGCGUAGGCGGGUUUUUAAGUCAGGGGUGAAAUCCCAAGGCUCAACCUUGGAACUGCCUUUGAUACUGGAAAUCUUGAGUCCGGGAGAGGUGAGUGGAACUGCGAGUGUAGAGGUGAAAUUCGUAGAUAUUCGCAAGAACACCAGUGGCGAAGGCGGCUCACUGGCCCGGUACUGACGCUGAGGUGCGGAAGCGUGGGGAGCAAACAGG
rnacentral:rRNA from 1 species